UUGUUUUUUGCAACUGAGUAUUCAUUUGUUGCCUUCCUAAUAAUUUUUCAUUUGUUUUGUUUGAGGGGGCAGGACUCCUGCUGCAGAUAAGUUUAAAUAACGCAUACCAACAAGUUAAAAUACAAAUUACAAAGCAUUGCCUUCAAAGGGCUUAACAAAAACAACAACUAACAUUAUCAUAAAAUACUUCAAUAGUCCAAUUGUCACCAUCGAAACCUGAAAUUAAAAAUAUAAAAUUAUAACUUGAUGAAUUAAAUUAGAAGAUAUAAAAAUAAAAGUAUUCCACGUCAGAUUUGAGCAAUUUUCAAGAGAAAUUCCAAGCAAUAGAAUGAAAAUUGGAAGCUGAACAGAGAAACAAAAAUCCAAAUAGAAGCAGAAACAAUUUUUCAUAUAAAGAAUAAAAUCAAUAUGAUUUUCCACCAACACGUACACUGAAAAUCAAAAGAUUCUAUACUCUCCUCAGCCAGUCUUCCUUUCUUCCCAACAGACUUCCUAAUUUCAUCUUGUGCUUUCUUCAUUGUUCUUGGAUUCCUAGCAAGCUCCUCCAUUGCCCAGACAGUUAUGGCACCAGCGUGGACUCCGCCUAGGAAUAUAUUAUGAAACUCGAGAGCAAUAACUCUUAAAUUAAUCUUGAAUCUAUUAAUUGUAAAGCCCACUAGUUAUCUUUGACUAUAUCUAUCCGUAUACAGCAAACAGAGCAUAAUCUGGGAUUCAUGCCGCAGAGAGUGGUGGUAAUUUUGAGUGAUUAUGGAGAUGAGGUUAUGUCGCAGAGGGUGAUGCUAUUCUUGAGAUGGAUUUGCGAGGCUUGAGGAGAAGGGAGGUGAGGAUGGAUGCAUGGAGGGUUUUAGAGGACUUCAAUGUGAAAAAAGGUGAGUGAAGAGGCCGGAUGAUAAAAGAGAGAUGUGGGUUUUUUUAGGAAGGGUAAAGAAAGGCAAGAGCUAAGUUAUGUUGUAAUAAUGUUUUCUUGUGAUUUCUUCACUGUCAAAUGAUUCUGUUCUCUCUUUUGACACUAUAAACUAAAUACAUAUAAGGAAUCUCAAGAAAAUAAGCACUAGAUCAAAAUAUAUACAUUCCUUUCAGUGCUUAAACAUGAGUUUUCAAUUAUCAACGAAAAUAAGCACAAACAUGGGUUUUCAAUUCUACGAACAUUCCUUUCAUUGCUCAAGAAUAAAAACCCAAUUAAAGCAAUCACAAACAUUUAAAAACCCAAUAAAAAACUACAAAUAGUUACCUUAGAUAUGGAUUUUUGAGCAUUCAAAACAACAACCGUGUCUCUGACCUCUGCAUUGAAAAGAAAAUACAAUAAAUAUAAUAGAGGAUAGACUAAUUAAUUAAUUAAAACGGAAAAAACAUCAUUAAAACUUACUGAAGAGGAAAGGCCACCUAGAUAGGUUCUGCUGUUCUGGAACACGUUGAUCUAUUAUUGAGACUUGAGAGUUGAGAGGCUUGAUUGGUUUCAACUUUCAAAUUUCAGCUGAUGCUUGACGUUUCUCUGGUUGUCUGUGUUUGAGAGUCUAAGACUCUAAGGAGAGGGGGGAGCGGCCGCGGGUGCUGGUGUUAGGAUUUCAGCUGAUGCUUGGCGUGUCUCUGGUGUUUGAGAAUCUAGGGAGAGGCGGCGAUUGCGGGUGCUAGAGUUAGGAUUUAGCUGAGCGUGUCUCUGAUGUUUGAGAGAAAGAGAAGGGGCGGCCGCACUGCUA
rnacentral:lncRNA from 1 species